AAAGGAAUAGACGGGGGCCCGCACAAGCGGUGGAGCAUGUGGUUCAAUUCGACGCAACGCGAAGAACCUUACCUGGGCUUGAACAGCUAUUGAUCGUGGCAGAGAUGUCAUUUUCCGCAAGGACAGUAGUAGAGGCGCUGCAUGGCUGUCGUCAGCUCGUGUCGUGAGAUGUUGGGUUAAGUCCCGCAACGAGCGCAACCCUUACCUCUAGUUGCCAGCGAGUCAAGUCGGGAACUCUAGAGGGACUGCCCGGGUUAACCGGGAGGAAGGUGGGGAUGAUGUCAAGUCCUCAUGGCCCUUAUGUCCAGGGCUACACACGUGCUACAAUGGGCGGUACAGACCGAUGCCAAGCCGCGAGGUGGAGCAAAUCGGAAAAAGCCGUCCUAAGUUCGGAUUGCAGUCUGCAACUCGACUGCAUGAAGUUGGAAUCGCUAGUAAUCGUGUAUCAGAAUGAUACGGUGAAUACGUUCCCGGGCCUUGUACACACCGCCCGU
rnacentral:rRNA from 1 species